rnacentral:rRNA from 1 species
UGGCGGACGGGGGAGUAAUGUCUGGGAAACUGCCCGAUGGAGGGGGGUAACUACUGGAAACGGUAGCUAAUACCGCAUAACGUCGCAAGACCAAGAGGGGACCUUCGGGCCUCUUGCCAUCGGAUGUGCCCAGAUGGGAUUAGCUAGUAGGUGGGGUAACGGCUCACCUAGGCGACGAUCCCUAGCUGGUCUGGGAGGAUGACCAGCCACACUGGAACUGAGACACGGUCCAG